GAAAUGGGAAGAUCAAGGAAAUUGGACUAUUCAAUCUCAGAUCUACUCUUGGACUAGUUGUGGUAGCUACUUUGGAAUCUUCUUCCAUGGAAACAAAUUUAUAGCAAGAGAGGAACAAAGUAUCUCUAGAGGUGAUGGGAUGUUGCUAUUUGGUCCCUUUUAUAUAACUUUUGGUCAAGGAUUCUCCCAUGCUGGUUCAGAGGAAGAUGCUGGAAAGAUAGGUCUUCUGAAAGAAAAACAAUAGUUUGGUAUCUCCAGCUCCAGAAAUGUGCUGAGAUUCCAUGCUAACAGUUCUUUCUCUAUAAGAGAAGAGUGGAAGGGCUACCAAGUAUUUCCUUGUCUUCUAAUUUCUUAAAUACAUUAAACAAAGUAUGUCUUCAGAUUUUAGGAAUAAGUCCAAGAAAAAGUGUCCAAGCCUAAAUACUAUGAAGAUGCUUCAUCCCCUCUAAUCCAGGAGACUAAGCUUAGUAUCGGAAGGACUAUCAAUGGUGUUAUAUACGAUACUGCAGAGAAAGAAAAUGACAAACUAUCUCUGAGUGUUCCUUGAGUAUUCCUUGUCUAAAACAGCCUUACACAAUGGGAUUUCCUUAGGCACAUACAAGAGAGAGGAACUGAGAGCAGCUUGUAUAGCUUCUGUCCGUGCCUCUGAUUAUUAUCUUACCUAGAUGUGCAUACAACCCACUCAUCCUAGGAAGGCAAUAUUUGCUUCACCUCUACUUCUGAGGCAUCUCCAAAGCUGCAUUUAUUUUGUUAAAUAAAUUGAUGGUAGCACCAAUGUUCUUUGAAGAUCCCAAAGAAUCAGGUGCAAGAUAUAUGUGGAGUUUGUUUCCGAAAGGUACCAAAUCGGAAAAAAAAUUGAAAAAGAGUUAUAGAUGGCAGCAGCACAUUGUUGGCUAGGAGUAGAAUAUUAUGUACAGAUCAAACCUAUCAAACUGCAUUAAAUCACUUGAGGACAGGGGCCUGGAAAACUGCAUUUUACAUCAAAUGAAUGCAUAUCUUCAGCACUUAUUUAUUAUUCCACUAAAAUCGUUUAGGUGGAUUUGGUACUUUUUUUGGAAACAAACUCCACAUAUGUUCUUGUGCAAUUCUGCUUUAUUCUCAACACACAGAUGUGAAAUUAAAAGUGUCAGAAUUUGCUCUCUGGGUUGGAUAGGACACCUAGAUCACACAAGGUUUCCCACUAGAAGGCAGGGGCAAGGAUAGCAAUGUUUACUGUUUCCUCUGUUGCUUUGGGUGAUCUUACCAAGCACUUAGGUUUGCAAGGAGAAAUUGCAAAUACACCCCCAAUCCCUUCAACCAGUUAAAGUUGUAUGGUAAGAAGUAAGAACUAUUUUGGAUUUAACGAGUUGUUAACAUAGGAAAGCCCUUGAAAUCAAAUUGCUGAGUGUAGUUUAGGGUGCAAGUGCUUGAAGUUGCAUUUCUUCUCACCACACUUUCACAUUUUGUUCAUAGACCGUUAUAUUCUCACCUGUCCCGAAACCUCUCCAAGAUAUGUGAGGGUUUCCCAUAUAACAUUCAGCUUUGGACAGAUACAAAUGGGUGAAAUGUGUUUUCAAACUCUGUGAUGUAAUAUAUCCAUCUCUCCAAAAUUGCCUCCGAAGUCCACGAAAUUCAUUCCCAAUGACUUCCAUUAGCAGGGCCCUGCUGCCUUAGGAAUCUAAAGAGAUGCUGCACCAGCCCUUAGAGCAGCGAAGGAGUAAAGAUAGAAAAUAGCAUACCUCCUGUUUCCUGCAUUUGAAAUAUGUAAAAUGCUUAACUUUUUCCACUAACAAAUCAGUGGGGACUGGAUGGCGAGGAUCUCUUUUACAUUAAAUACAAAUAAUCCAAAUCGGGUAUUAUUAUUAUUAUUAUUAUUUCUUUCUGCACUGAUUACAAUUGUGUCCCAUGGACACCUGGUGGAUCCUUAUGUAAAGUUUCCCCCAUCCCAUACACAAUAAGAGUUUGUGAUCUGACUUGAUAUAUGGCUAUUUGAAUUACAGGGGAAAAAAAGGUUUGUAUUAUUUCAUUUACUGUGUACAGGUGUCUGUAAUAUAUAUUCAUGAUAAUAAAUACAUGCUCCAGCAUUA